AGUGUCCUGACUACAAACACAGUGUUGUUUCAAAGUAGCAACAAUGGUGGCUGCCCCUUGGCUCAGUGCCAGCUCACUCUGGGACUGGAGAUGAGUUCCUGGGCUUCUCCUCAACCCAGCCAUUGUGCAUGCUCUGUGAAUAGCUCUUGGUGCCAGGGUCACAACCUAGAGGUCAUCUGGACCAACUGCCCUUACAGCUACCUUCCACACAGACUAUCCUUCCACGUAUCUGAGAAAUGCAGGUGGUUUCUAAGAAAACUUCUCAGUGGCCAUGUCAUAAGCAGCCCUAAGGAGAGGCCCAGGUGGCAAGAAACUGAGGCUUCCAGUCCUCUGUACAUGAAUGAGCAUGGAUGGAGAUUCUCCAGCCUAGUCAGCCUUCGGGUGACUGAAGUCCUGGCAGACCUCCUAGCUGUAGUCUCUUGAGAGCUCUUGAGCCAGAAGCACCCAACUAAGCCACUCCUGGAUUUCUGAUACACA